CUGAAUCGUGUCGUCAAAUAUGUUCUUUUUUUACACCUCCAUUUAGCGACACGGCAUGGAGAGGCCUACAUCCAGCAGUGGAUUGACAAAGGUCUGAAGAUUUUUUUUUUACAUUCAAUCUCCAUCUGUGUCGGCCAAAAAAGCGCAAUUUUGUGCUCAUUAAUUCACGGUCGUUGACGAGCGUUCGUGGGUUUCGUCUUCGAUCCAUUCGCUCACGAUGUGGGAUCCGCACGCCAAGAAUUCUGAGUAUGCGACUUGAGCGGUUGGUGGGAUGGGCAAAAUUCCACCGAAGGACCC